rnacentral:rRNA from 1 species
UGCCCCGAAUUAUCCGGGCUACACGCGGGCUACAAUGGUCAGGACAAUGGGUAUCGACACCGAGAGGUGGAGGCAAUCUCCUAAACCUGUCCUUAGUUCGGAUUGUGGGCUGCAACUCGCCCACAUGAAGCUGGAAUCCGUAGUAAUCGCGUUUCAAAUAGCGCGGUGAAUAUGUCCCUGCCGUCCUU